ensembl:misc_RNA 7SK 7SK RNA
GGGUAUGAGGGCAAUCUGGCUGAGACACGUCACCCAAUUGAUCACCAGGGUUGAUUCGGCUGAUUUGGCUGGCUAAGCAUGUGUCUCCUUCUUCCCUCCCUACUUUAUCUGUGUCCCUUGCAAAGCUCAGCAUUAAGUGGAAGAGGAAGAUCACCCCCAAUAGAGGAGAACUCUUUCUUCAGAUCAAGGGUAUGGUGAGUCGCUGUGACCCUCAGCUAGAAUCUCCAACAAGCUCUCAAGGUCCAAAAUUUGAGUUAGAACCCUGUUUGGCUCUGCAUGUAGACAUGUUAAACAUUUAAGAGGUUUCUAUAACACAAGGUUUGUUAGCCCUCAAUUUACCUAGCUU